rnacentral:rRNA from 1 species
UACGAAGGGGGCUAGCGUUGCUCGGAAUCACUGGGCGUAAAGCGCACGUAGGCGGAUUGUUAAGUCAGGGGUGAGAUCCUGGAGCUCAACUCCAGAACUGCCUUUGAUACUGGCGAUCUUGAGUCCGGGAGAGGUGAGUGGAACUGCGAGUGUAGAGGUGAAAUUCGUAGAUAUUCGCAAGAACACCAGUGGCGAAGGCGGCUCACUGGCCCGGUACUGACGCUGAGGUGCGAAAGCGUGGGGAGCAAACAGG